GAAAUGCAGAGAUAUUUCCCUAUUAAUCCAAAACCACAGCUGGGUUUGUCUCUCUCAGUGACGCAAAAGACAGCUGUCUCAAGAGACAGAGAAGGGAACAAAUGCUGCUGCCCCACUGCCCCACUGCCUCAGCAAACAACCCUUUGCAUUUUCAAUGCAAAUGGAAUUCUGAGUUCCAGAUCCAGCAUGCUGAGCAAUAAGCUCACAAAAGCUCAAGCAGUGCUGUACAGCCUGCAGCAAAGCUUCAUGACAAGGAGAUGCAAUACGCAGUCAUGGGGCAAGUGGAGCAGUGUGGCCUGGGCCUAAAUAAUUCAGUGCUCCAGUUUGUCGUGGGGCGUUUUCAUGGGAUUGUGGACGAGUACGAAAAGAGGUCUCCACAUCAAACUCUUUUACUGGGAGUAAGCCUGUGCUUCUCUCUGCCUGCGAGCGCCGGAGCUGCGCUGCUCAGGACAGAGACACCCGGCAGCCAGCAGCCAUCGCUGUUUAAAGACUGACGAAUGUUCACAGAUGACUCAUGGGAUCUCUCCAGCGAGGAGGAGUGCACACUGUUCACAUCGCAGCGUCGUGAACCUGGCCUGAUCUUUUUCUUACUCAUUUAGUCGGCUGAUGCUUUUAUCCCAAGCCACUUCCAUUUGCACCCAUUUAUACUGCUGGGUACUUUACUGGAGCAGUUCUGGCGAAGUGCUUCUCUCUAGGGCACAGACCCACUACCUUCCAGUUACCAGUCCAGAGCCUACACUGCUGCCUGCUCAGAUCCCAUUGUCUCAGUCAGAUAGCGGAGAGUCUUGAAGAGGAAUGGCUCAGCUGCAACUUCCCCAGUCCAGACAGGGACCGCUGCAUGUUUUCCCACCCUGCCUCACCAGAAUGCAAAAGCUGAGACACGCCCCCCUCUCCACCCAUUAGCAACAGCAGGGUCUCACCUGGGAUUUGAACCCACAGAUCCCAGUGUUAGUUAUGAGUCCAGAAUCCUGACCACUGAACCACUGCCCUACAGAUCAAAGCAGGGCGUGUGCCAGGACCAUGUCUGUCUGAGUUGUUGGCGCAAGUCAACCCUGGUGACUGGGGGGUAUUGCAGCCUUAUGGCCUUGAAUCAAGGGUGCACUGACACUCCCUUCACUCACCAGAAUGCAAAGACUCUGACACACCCCCACCAUCCUCUGCCCCGCUGGCAGAUGGGACAGAGAGAAAGCCAGAAGCAAAAUACUAGAAUACCAGCGCUGCUACUCACACAGUUUCCACUGGAACUGCUGUGUCAGUGGGAAUUGGGGAUUUUCUUCUUCAAUAAAAAAAAACAUUUUCUUAAUAUAACAAGGUCCAAAAAAAUGUAUAAAUGGAAUUGGAUGACAGAAAUGUGAACUGGCACACUGACAGACGCGAUUUCAGAGUUGUGCUUCACAACUGCAUUGUUCUGCUUAAUGGGAAAAUAGAAAAGCCAGUCAAAGGCAAGUCCAGACUUGGCUGAAAAGUUUCUUUAUUAGGCCCAGUAUGGUUUCAAAUCCUGGAUUUUUAACUGAAAGGCUGCAGAAUCGUGUGGCAGUUUUCCCCGGAAUGUGCUUUAAUAUGCUUAAUCACCCACUUAAUCAAGGGUAUGACUGACUAAGCUCCUCUUUAUUCGAGGCUCCUGCAUGUGAGGGGGUUGGGACUGAAGUCCAGCUCUCAGGCUGAAGAGAGGCAAUAGAGUUCACACCCGCCCCUCGGUGCUCCUGGGUCGCUCGAGAGCUGGCUUGAGGGGUUUGUGCUGUGCUCAGUGAAAACAUUAGGGUGCCUCAUAUGUAAUUGGUGUUGUCACAGCAAAAGGGGUUCAUGCAAAUGUUUUUUAACCCCUGUUUAAUCUGGAUGCAUGCUCAGCAGGAUUAGGUGGAUUUCCCAUCUGUGGCCAGAAGGCACAGGCUAUCCUGAAGGGUGAGGAAGGAGAGGACGGGAGCUCGCACGGCUCUGCACCUGUCCCAUGGCAGAUGGGACGCAGGCCACAGCGUCACCUGGCCCACCAUGACGUCAGUGCUGCUGCCAAAUCCUAAUGCCGUCCAUAAACGCUGCACUUUGGAUUAAUGAGAUAUUGCGUCCCUAUUACCUGUCACUUCUCAAAGCUAGCAGGUCUGUGGGUGUGUUACGAUAAAGGGACCAUUAAGAAAAGUGUUAGAAAAUCAGCUCUGCCAGUUCUGGGCUCACACCUGGUCUCAGCC